CCUACGGGUGGCAGCAGUGAGGAAUAUUGGUCAAUGGACGAGAGUCUGAACCAGCCAAGUAGCGUGAAGGAUGACUGCCCUAUGUGUUGUAAACUUCUUUUAUAUGGGAAUAAAAUGUUCCACGUGUGGGAUUUUGUAUGUACCAUAUGAAUAAGGAUCGGCUAACUCCGUGCCAGCAGCCGCGGUAAUACGGAGGAUCCGAGCGUUAUCCGGAUUUAUUGGGUUUAAAGGGUGCGUAGGUGGAUUGUUAAGUCAGUUGUGAAAGUUUGCGGCUCAACCGUAAAAUUGCAGUUGAGACUGGCAGUCUUGAGUACAGUAGAGGUGGGCGGAAUUCGUGGUGUAGCGGUGAAAUGCUUAGAUAUCACGAAGAACUCCGAUUGCGAAGGCAGUUCACUGGACUGCAACUGACACUGAGGCUCGAAAGUGUGGGUAUCAAACAGGAUUAGAUACCCCAGUAGUC
rnacentral:rRNA from 1 species